rnacentral:lncRNA from 1 species
UGCAUAGUCCGUAUACAUAGUGCACACACAAGCGCAUAGUCCACAUACAUAGUGCAUACACAGUGCAUAGUCCAUAUACAUAGUGCAUACACAAGCGCAUAGUCCAUAUACAAAGUGUGUACACAGCACAUAGUCCAUUAACAUAGUGCAUACACAUAGUGCAUAGUCCAUAUACAUAGUGCAUACACAUAGCGCAUAUCCAUAUACACAUAGUGUAUACACAUAGUGCAUAGUCCAUAUACAUAGUGCAUACACAGCGCAUAGUCCAUAUACAUAGUGCACACACAAGCACAUAGUCCAUAUACAUAGUGCACACACAAGCGCAUAGUCCACAUACAUAGUGCAUAGUCCAUAUACAUAGUGCAUACACAGCGCAUAGUCCAUAUACAUAGUGCACACACAAGCACAUAGUCCAUAUACAUAGUGCAUACACAGCGCAUAGUCCAUAUACAUAGUGCAUACACAAGCGCAUAGUCCACAUACAUAGUGCAUAGUCCAUAUACAUAGUGCAUACACAGCGCAUAGUCCAUAUACAUAGUGCACACACAAGCACAUAGUCCAUAUACAUAGUGCAUACACAGCGCAUAGUCCAUAUACAUAGUGCACACACAAGCACAUAGUCCAUAUACAUAGUGCACACACAAGCGCAUAGUCCACAUACAUAGUGCAUAGUCCAUAUACAUAGUGCAUACACAGCGCAUAGUCCAUAUACAUAGUGCACACACAAGCGCAUAGUCCAUAUACAUAGUGCACACACAAGCGCAUAGUCCACAUACAUAGUGCAUAGUCCAUAUACAUAGUGCACACACAAGCGCAUAGUCCAUAUACAUAGUGCAUACACAGCGCAUAGUCCAUAUACAUAGUGCAUACACAUAGCGCAUAGUCCACAUACAUAGUGCAUACACAGUGCAUAGUCCAUAUACAUAGUGCACACACAAGCGCAUAGUCCAUAUACAUAGUGCAUACACAGCGCAUAGUCCACAUACAUAGUGCAUACACAGCGCAUAGUCCAUAUACAUAGUGCAUACACAGUGCAUAGUCCAUAUACAUAGUGCACACACAAGCGCAUAGUCCAUAUACAUAGUGCAUAUACAUAGUCCACAGUCCAUAUUCAUAGUGUAUAGGGCUCUUGAUUCAGGGCUUUAAAAUGUGGCUUAUAAUUUAAAAACGUUUAAGACAAAAUAUAUUUUAUUACAAUCAACAGAGAAAGGGCAGGAUAUACAUUCUCUUAGGUUGAAAAAAGCAGUCAGUUCCUUUUUUUUUUUAGCUGUAUAGUAUUAUAGAUUAAACUUUUAGAAAAAAAGUAAAAAUAUGUAUAGUUUUGUUCAUGGCAUAGACUUUAAAAAGUCAAUGUUCAGCAUAGUCUGAGAAGUUGGGGGUGACGAUAUGCAUCUCUGUCACGUUUGUGCUGCUUUGCCCUGAGGGGGCUCUGUCAUCUCAGUAGCAAGGUCUCCCAUCUCUCUGAAUGUGCUGUCACUAUGGUAAAAGAAAAGGCACUCAUCUCUUUCCC